rfam:Bacillus sp. TS-2 DNA, contig: BspTS2nb22.
UAUAUUUUAACAUUCAUACCGUAGACAGUAGGGGCUUUAUAGCUUAAUAUCCUACCGAGGUAAGCGAUAAAGAUUCUUAUUCAUUAAAGAGUCCUAAAGCCCUCAUGUCUAUCAUGGGGGUUUUUAUAGCUUAAAUA